rnacentral:rRNA from 1 species
GAUAUGGCUCAGGACGAACGCUGGCGGCGUGCUUAACACAUGCAAGUCGAACGGAAAGGCCCUGCUUUUGUGGGGUGCUCGAGUGGCGAACGGGUGAGUAACACGUGAGUAACCUGCCCUUGACUUUGGGAUAACUUCAGGAAACUGGGGCUAAUACCGGAUAGGAGCUCCUGCUGCAUGGUGGGGGUUGGAAAGUUUCGGCGGUUGGGGAUGGACUCGCGGCUUAUCAGCUUGUUGGUGGGGUAGUGGCUUACCAAGG